CGAGGUACUACGGUACUGAAGUAACAAAUGCCCUGCUUCCAGGAAAAGCCUCUAAGCAUCAGGUAACAUCAAAUCGUACCCCAAACCGACACAGGUGGUCAGGUAGAGAAUACCAAGGCGCUUGAGAGAACUCGGGUGAAGGAACUAGGCAAAAUGGUGCCGUAACUUCGGGAGAAGGCACGCUGGUGUGUAGGUGAAGUCCCUGCGGAUGGAGCUGAGACCAGUCGAAGAUACCAGCUGGCUGCAACUGUUUAUUAAAAACACAGCACUGUGCAAACACGAAAGUGGACGUAUACGGUGUGACGCCUGCCCGGUGCCGGAAGGUUAAUUGAUGGGGUUAUCCGUAAGGAGAAGCUCUUGAUCGAAGCCCCGGUAAACGGCGGCCGUAACUAUAACGGUCCUAAGGUAGCGAAAUUCCUUGUCGGGUAAGUUCCGACCUGCACGAAUGGCGUAAUGAUGGCCAGGCUGUCUCCACCCGAGACUCAGUGAAAUUGAACUCGCUGUGAAGAUGCAGUGUACCCGCGGCAAGACGGAAAGACCCCGUGAACCUUUACUAUAGCUUGACACUGAACAUUGAGCCUUGAUGUGUAGGAUAGGUGGGAGGCUUUGAAGCGUGGACGCCAGUCUGCGUGGAGCCAACCUUGAAAUACCACCCUUUAAUGUUUGAUGUUCUAACGUGGGCCCCUGACCGGGGUUGCGGACAGUGUCUGGUGGGUAGUUUGACUGGGGCGGUCUCCUCCCAAAGCGUAACGGAGGAGCACGAAGGUUAGCUAAUCCUGGUCGGACAUCAGGAGGUUAGUGCAAUGGCAUAAGCUAGCUUGACUGCGAGCGUGACGGCGCGAGCAGGUGCGAAAGCAGGUCAUAGUGAUCCGGUGGUUCUGAAUGGAAGGGCCAUCGCUCAACGGAUAAAAGGUACUCCGGGGAUAACAGGCUGAUACCGCCCAAGAGUUCAUAUCGACGGCGGUGUUUGGCACCUCGAUGUCGGCUCAUCACAUCCUGGGGCUGAAGUAGGUCCCAAGGGUAUGGCUGUUCGCCAUUUAAAGUGGUACGCGAGCUGGGUUUAGAACGUCGUGAGACAGUUCGGUCCCUAUCUGCCGUGGGCGCUGGAGAAUUGAGGGGGGCUGCUCCUAGUACGAGAGGACCGGAGUGGACGCAUCACUGGUGUUCGGGUUGUCAUGCCAAUGGCACUGCCCGGUAGCUAAAUGCGGAAGAGAUAAGUGCUGAAAGCAUCUAAGCACGAAACUUGCCCCGAGAUGAGUUCUCCCUGAGACUUUAAGUCUCCUGAAGGAACGUUGAAGACGACGACGUUGAUAGGCCGGGUGUGUAAGCGCAGCGAUGCGUUGAGCUAACCGGUACUAAUGAACCGUGAGGCUUAACC
rnacentral:rRNA from 1 species